UCCCUGGAGGACUAGUGGUUAGGCCUCAGCGCUCUCACCACCGCAGCCCGGGUUCAAUUCCUGGCUAGGGAA
rnacentral:tRNA from 1 species